GAACACUCAACGAUUGAUUUAUUUACAUAUCUUGCAAAGCAUAGUUAUUUUCACGAUUCAUACAUUGAUUGUUAUUAAGCAUUAUUCUGUAUUGCGUUCUAAUUAAUCCUUCGAGCAACACACUUUUACAUUUAUAAGUUCAACAAUUCAAUGCUGGUAACCCCAGGGUGUUCCAAACAAAAAUGCACCUGUAUGCUCGACCAAAUCAUGCCCAUAACGCCGCUCUAAGUAAAGGAGAAAAGGAUGCAAUAUUGUGUCGUUGGAGAAGCGAAGAGACAGACAGAGAGAGAGAGAGAGUUUUUAAACCUUUUUCAUAAAGCCUUCACUAUUUGUGCAAGCACCGCAAAAUUUGGCGUACCCAAUCCUGUCACAGGGUCCCACCCAACCGUCGCAUUCCACCCAGCUCUGGGAAUAUACGGCGUAGAUAAACCUGAAGCCCUGGAAAAGCCGGUACAUCCCUCCGAAUAGCCAUCGACAAUGUCAUUCAAACCUGCACCCUUAAGACUGUAGAGGAGCGGAUUGAGAAAUCCAAGGACAGGCUUCCCUUCAGCAAGGCGGAUAGAGUUGAGAAUGGCUACAACUGCUGCGAAUACGGGUGCAGAGGCGCUGUUUGAAUGGUCAGAAAUACUUAUUUUUGCAAGGUUGGCGUUUGGGAAGAGUUGGGAAGCGAAGAGGGGUAGAUAUUGAAAGUCGAAAGAAGGGUAUAAGGAAUAUGAGAAGUUUUAUGUUAGUACAUGAAUUCACGAACCUCGUUCCUGAUGCGUAAGUGGGUUCCCCAUGAUCAACAAUGUGAAAUUGUGCGGACUGUGCUGCCACAUCCGGAAAACCACGACCUGCUGGGUUAUAGAGACCAGCCCAUCGACUGCCUAGUUGACCUAAGUAUGUCGAAACAGCUUCGUCUUGGUACGCCGGGCGGGGAUAUCGAUCAGAAAAUCCUCCCGAGGAAAAGUACGCUGCAGUCUCCGGGUUUACGCCUUGUGUUCCACCAACGGAUGUUAGGAAAGGACAGACAGCUGGAAAAAUGGGGUCGAAUCGGGUUGUGUUUGUGCCAUCGUUAGUUUGGCAAGCACUUCCCGGGCCAGAGUCUCCACUGGAGAAUAACACUGAUACCCCUCGUGCACCUAGCUGAGCGAACAAAUUGCAUGUCGAAUUUGCGUAUUUCUCUGGUACGCUUCGUUCAUUUUCACCGUAUGAAGUGGUAAGAACGGCUGGUAACUCCCCAUCUGGAAGGGAGAGUAAAUAAUGCAAUUGGUCCAAGUAGGGUUCAUUGGUAUUGGCGUUUGUAUCAGGAAGAUCCAGAUCGGGAAUCAUUGGACCGAGCCCACCAGUGGUGUAAUAUACCGUGGUUGCGUUGGAAAGGCCAAGUGUAUAUUGGACAUCCAGACUGGCUUCCAUAGAUGACUUGCUCGAAUUCUGAUGGUUCAAUCCCCCGUUAAUGGAAACCACAUGGAAGGUGGAUCCUUUUAGUUCCGGGACAAACUUUUGAAAGAAAAGAUCCAAAUCACUAUAUCUUGCGUAUUGCUCAAGGUAGCCUGACACUCCAAGCUUAUUGCGAGGGUCUGGGGUAGCAGUGACAUUUCCCAUGUUAUAUAUUUCCCGAAUACAUGAUGGCGCAACAGCAAGGCUACAAUUGACUGGAUAACAAGAAUCAUCAAGCCCCA
rnacentral:sRNA from 2 species